rnacentral:lncRNA from 1 species
AGGGUGCGUUUGGGAAGACUUUUGGGGAAAGUCUUUGGGAAAAUGCAAAGACCUUUGAGUUGAAUGUGUUUUUCAAAAUGCAAAUUGUGUUUGGUAAAUUGUAAUUUAAAAGCCCUUUGUGAAGUACCUUUGGCUAAAAUGGUGUUUGGGGGACAAAGGGCUUUUGUGAAAAAAAAAAAUAUCAAAAGAAAAAUAAAAACAAAAAACAAAAAAAUGAAAACCAGCGAGGGCAGGCGGCAUCCGGCGGCCGGCGGCGACCCUCGGCGACCUCCGGCGACCCCUGAUCUGGGCCGGCGAGGUCGCGCGACGCCGUCGCAACCUCCGGCGACCCCGGAUCUGGGCCGGCGAGGUCGCGUGACGCCGUCGCGACCUCCGGCGACCCCGGAU